rfam:Triticum aestivum genome assembly, contig: Triticum_aestivum_CS42_TGACv1_scaffold_080207_1DS
GCAUGCCGAUGAUGAUGCAAAAGCAUCGGUGAAUUCUGGAUGAAUGCGCUUACCACGACGAGGUGUGCGGCUCUGAAGAUAUCCACUGCGCAAUACUCUGAGGCACGC